ensembl:lncRNA
GGGAAGCCGCUGCAAUAAGAAGCCCAGGUACUGCAAUGAAGAGUAGCCCCUGCUUUCUAGCAGCUAGAGAAGCCUGCUCACAGCAAAGAGCCUGAGCAACAACCCCCCACAGCUGGCCUUUAAAAAAGACUAGUGUUCUGGACAUUUCACCUGUAGAAUAUGAUUACUCAUACUAAUGCCACUCAGUGACUCCACUGCCUGCUGCUUUCCAUAUCGCUGAGAGAGGCUGGGUAUUUACUGUUAGCCUGACUUCCCUCCCUCAGCCCUCCACCUACCUCCUGCAAACUAGCUCCCCCAAAUCAAAUCUCUGUGUCUGCUUAAAUUGAAUCUGUUAAUUCUUGGUAAAAAUAAAAGAAGUGACUUUACAGUGUUGUAGGAUGGAAAGAUGGCUAUUUUUAGUCAUUGACAUGAAAGUUGUCAGUGGAAAGCUAGACGGUUUCCAGUAAGGUCCAAGAUUCUGUCCUUCUCCUAGGCAACCUCAGAGCAAUGUCUAAACACUGGGACCCAGAACUUUAAAGAACACAGCUCAACUCAAGCCCUCUGUUGGAAACGAGAACUCUGUAGUCUGUACUGUACAUUUGUUGUUGUUGUUUUUGGUUUUGCUCCUUUAUUUUUUGAGAGCAUUUCAUUAGGGAUGACAAGCAUUUCACUAGGGAUGGUGAUUGUGUUUUCUAUUUGCUAUGCAAGCUUCUAUUGAAAUCCAAGCAAAAUAGUGCUUUUAUCUUGGAGGCACAAUCGUAAACAUGUUGGCAUUCCUUUGGGAGAUUUAUAAAGGAUUUGUGUACACAUCUGUGUUCAUGAUAAACUUCUGAAUUCUGGAAUUUUUGACAGCACACAGAGAGAAACAGCUGAAAAACGCAAAGUCAUCAAAAAGCACAACACAGCUCCUGGAAGAGUUUAGCAAUAGAUAGCAGUGACUACAAAGGUAUCCACCAUUAUCACGCGCCCAUGGUCCCCCUUCAGCACUGCAGGCAUCACGGAAGAAAACUAUUACUUUAGUACCCAGCAGGAGGAAAGAAGAAUUUCUCCUUGCCGGGCCAUGGUGCUGCCAAUGAGACAUUCACACUCAACCAAUAGAAAGCCACUACCCUUCAAAUUCCAGUUUCCACCAACGGAUUCUUCUUUUAUAGCAGCUCCUUUAAACUCCCCCUUCUCUAUAAAAGAACGAUCCUCUUCUUUGUUCUCUGGCCUCGCCUGUGGUUUUCCAUAGAUUGUGUGUCCUGAAUUACAAUUCUUUGCUGUUUAUCAAAGAGACCCAUUUUGCUG